rnacentral:lncRNA from 10 species
CAGGAGCAAUUGGGGUCCAUUACGAAGCGAGGUGAAGCUAGAGUUCCUAAGGGAGAGGAGAAGAAGCAGUGGGGCAGGUGGGAGGCGUGGUGGAUUCUAGGAACCGGAAGCUCAAUUUAUAGUUAGAAGAGGGGGCCGGGUGCAGAGUACCCUUCUCACCCACCCCCACGCGGAAUCCGCGGCGCCUGCGGUCUUGGGUUGAGCUGUGCGCAGCAGGCGGGUCAGGCGCACCAUCCCCUGAGUGCAGCCUGGUGGGCUCCCGGGGACCGCCCUUUUGGGGCCCGCUCGUGCGGGAGGGGCUAUGCUGCCAGAGUUCUCCGGGACUUUCCAGGCCUGCCGGCCACCCCACUGCAGGAUGGCAGUUUUGAAAAUGAGGGAUGCCCUCCAAAGAGGAUGACUUUAGGUGACAUGCAGACCCUGCGGUCAAUCAAGGAGAGAAGCCUCUGAACCCAAGCCAAGCCAUCGCAUCCCCUGUGACUUGCACAUAUACAUCCAGAUGGCCUGAAGUAACUGAAGAUCCACAAAAGAAGUAAAAAUAGCCUUAACUGAUGACAUCCCACCAUUGUGAUUUGUUUCUUCCCCGCCCUAACUGAUCAAUGUACUUUGUAAUCUCCCCCACCCUUAAGAAGAUACUUUGUAAUCUCCCCCACGCUUAAGAAGUUUCUUUGUAAUUCUCCCCACCCUUGAGAAUGUACUUUGUGAGAUCCACCCCUGCCCACAAAACAUUGCUCUUCACCGCCUGUCCCAAAACCUACAAGAACUAAUGAUAAUCCACCACCCUUCGCUGACUCUCUUUUCGGACUCAGCCCACCUGCACCCAGGUGAAAUAAACAGCCAUGUUGCUCACACAAAGCCUGUUUGGUGGUCUCUUCACAUGGACGCGAAUGAAACUGACAACUGUAACAAGAAGUUUAAGUAACUUGCUCAACAUCACAGAGCUAAACAGUUUACACUGAUUUGAAUCUAGCCAGCGUUUCAAGAGAAAGUGUCCAAGAUC